AUUGAACGCUGGCGGCAGGCCUAACACAUGCAAGUCGAGCGAGCGGCGGACGGGUGAGUAAUGUCUGGGAAACUGCCUGAUGGAGGGGGAUAACUACUGGAAACGGUAGCUAAUACCGCAUACCAUCAGAUGUGCCCAGAUGGGAUUAGCUAGUAGGUGGGGUAACGGCUCACCUAGGCGACGAUCCCUAGCUGGUCUGAGAGGAUGACCAGCCACACUGGAACUGCGACACGGUCCAGACUCCUACGUGGGGCAGCAGUUGGGAGUAUUGAACAAUGGGCGCAAGCCUGAUGCAGCCACGCCGUGUGUGUGAAGAAGGCCUUCGGGUUGUAAAGCACGUUCAGCGGGGAGGCGUUACCCGCAGAAGAAGCACCGGCUAACUCCGUGCCAGCCGCCGUAUC
rnacentral:rRNA from 1 species